UUACCUUAAAAGCAACCAUCUUGUAAGAUGUCACAUAGAAUACAUAUGAAAAAUGUUGUAUUCCAUAAAGGGACCAAAGGAUCGAAAGCAUCUUAACCUAUUCUCAAACUUUCAAAGGACAAGUAGCUCACUUUUCUUGAUAUGAAGCUUGUGGUUAUGAUAUAAUGUGCCUAGUGAGCCAAGCAGAACUGGCGCGGUGGGACGAGCCAAGUGUAGUGUUAUGGCGCCCAAAUUAGCAACUCAAGCAGAUACCAUGAAAUUCGUUUGCUGCUUAAAACAGCAGGAUAGUCAACAAGGAAGUCACAAUUCGCUAAGGAGUGUUUAACAACUCACCUGCCGUAGCAACUAACCCUUAAAAUGGACGCGGCUUAAGUUGUAUACCCGUAUAUUGUCACUACAGUAUAUAAUUGACAUUCAGCUAAUUUAAAUUUACAACCUUAAAAACUUUACUAGGUAGUAGGUUAGAAGGGUGGUGGACGUAGAAGUGUUUGGCGUAAAUCUGCAUGAAGCCGCCAUUCGUA
rnacentral:ncRNA from 1 species